rnacentral:rRNA from 1 species
UACGGGGGGAGCAAGCGUUGUUCGGAAUUACUGGGCGUAAAGGGCUCGUAGGCGGCCAACUAAGUCAGACGUGAAAUCCCUCGGCUUAACCGGGGAACUGCGUCUGAUACUGGAUGGCUUGAGAUUGGGAGAGGGAUGCGGAAUUCCAGGUGUAGCGGUGAAAUGCGUAGAUAUCUGGAGGAACACCGGUGGCGAAGGCGGCAUCCUGGACCAACACUGACGCUGAUGAGCGAAAGCCAGGGGAGCAAACGGG